GGAUUGCUUUUACUUUUGCAUCUUACUUUUACAUUUCUACAUUUUUUUUUACUUCUUUUACAUUUUUUACUUUUACAUUUUUUACUUCUUUUACAUUCUACAUUUCUACUUUUACUUUUGCAUCUUCUCAUGCUUCACCUGGGAAUCAUUUCAAUUGUGAAGUAGCUAUUCUUGUCCAAAGAAACCAAAAGUACUUGCUAAAGAGAAUAAUGUUUAAUAUAAUCCUUAAAAGCAAGCUUUCAUUGUCAAUGAUUUAAGACUAGAGAGUAAAUUCCUUUGUUAAAUUUUGGUGUAAUUGUAGUGAAAUCUUAAGUUGUGGUUUGAUGUGAUUGAACCUACACCUUUUUUUGUGAAUUAGUAUUGAAUUUUCAGAUCUUGACAUUGUAAAGCUUUUUUUUCCUUUGGGGUGAUGAUGGAUUAAUCUUGAGAAUGAUGAGUCAAAGGAAUGAGCUAGAUCAUUUUUUUUGUUGCAUGAAACUGUACUUUGACAGAAAUUUAUUUUAUUUUUU